AAGAAAUUAGUUAAAUAAUAACAUUAAUAUGUCAUAUUGAAAUUAUUAACUUACAUUAAUAUUUCUUU
rnacentral:tRNA from 1 species